rnacentral:rRNA from 1 species
GCUAAUGACGUCACCCUGACUGCUCCCGAUCUCAUCUGAUCUUGGAAGCUAAGCAGGGUCCAGCUUGGAUCUUGGAAGCUAAGCAGGGUCCAGCCUGGUUAGUA